UACGAAGGGGGCUAGCGUUGCUCGGAAUUACUGGGCGUAAAGGGAGCGUAGGCGGACAUUUAAGUCAGGGGUGAAAUCCCAGAGCUCAACUCUGGAACUGCCUUUGAUACUGGAUGGCUUGAGUUCGGGAGAGGGAUGCGGAAUUCCAGGUGUAGCGGUGAAAUGCGUAGAUAUCUGGAGGAACACCGGUGGCGAAGGCGGCAACCUGGACCGACACUGACACUGAGGAGCGAAAGCCAGGGGAGCAAACGGG
rnacentral:rRNA from 1 species